CGCAAAGUGGGACACAAAACGUAUGUCCAUGUCAUGAAGAUCAACAGAAUUUUAUGCUGGUCAUUGACAAAUCACAAAUGUGUUAGUGUUAACAAAUUCUAAAGCUGGUUUUAACAAAUAGGACGUUCAAUCAGUUGAAUCACUGCCAGCUAAUCAGGCAAUACAUACAAGUGAAAAUUAUAAGAAUCCUUAGUAUUCAAUUUAAACAAUCAUGCAUCCCAAAGUUAUAGUAGAUCCAUAAGGAGAGAUACAAAUCAACAAAAAGUAAAUGCAAAUGAAUCUUUAUACAAUAGCCAUCCCUUCGAUACAAGAAUUAGAAUAAAAGUUUGAUCACAAGUUUAAAAUGCCCAGACAUAGCAUAACUACCCACACAAAACCUUAUCAGCCAAAAUUAAAGUCAAGAGAGAAAAGAAUAUUGUGAUUAAUUUACCCACAUGCUACCCCAUAUUUCAUUAUCCAAACAUGAUACCAGGAAAAGGAAAGUAUAGUAUCAGACUAUCGGUAAUACUAAAAUAGAUUAACUCAUACCCGGCAACUGAGAUCAAAUUUACAGGUUUUUCAUGCCCACAGAGUGUAGCCUUCAAAGCACGAUGUCCUCAUUUGCCACUUGAGCCAAGGGACCAUAGUCAAACGGUACCAUCUUUUCCUCCACUUGCCAAUACAUAAAAGAAAAGAUGAAAACAAAGUCAGCAUAAAAAUAGGAACAAAAUAAAGAACAACUUGCCUUGAUAGCGUCAAGGUUCAUCUUGCUAAAGUGCAUCCAAGCGAAAUUUGUCAAAAGAAAAUACUGUUUCCAAGGAGCAAGCACAAGUGAACAAAUUGAUGUACCUUUUUUUUUUUUGCUAGAAUCCUGAACAUACUAGAAUACAGCACAAGGAAUAGAAAAUUGAAUCGUAGCAUAAAACAACUUCAAGUAUUUGUCUAUUUAUUUUACUUUUGAUCGCAAAAUAAAAGAGGGAUAAACAUACUUCGCACACAUAUCAUUAUCCAACCUCUCUAUCAAGCAUUAAAAUGGGGAAAUUAUAAUAUUUCCAUCACUUUCAGUUUUCACUCUCCUUUCUCCUUUCCACAUUUCCUAAUAAGAACACCUGAUACGAACACAGAAGCUCAAGCACAAGAGGGCAGUAACGACAUAGCAACAGCAAAGAAGGAAUUCGCAGAUGAGGUGGUGCCAAAAGAAGCAAAGCCCAAACAGAGGAUCAAGAAGCCCACUUAUUUGAAUGACUUCGUCUGAGGAUAGCGACAAAGGAAAUGGAAUUGCCAGCUCAUCUUCAAAUCUUCCACAAAUCUUCCUGCUUGAUGCUGC
rnacentral:lncRNA from 1 species